CAAGGAGUCCAACAUGUGCGCGAGUCUAAGGGUUGAAUAAACCCGGAGGCGAAAUGAAAGUGAGCUCCCUUUUGGGGGGCAGGCCGAUCCCUGGUCCGUGGCGGCGGCGGGGGCCGAUCUCGGGCGCGACACCUUGCGUGGCGUGGCCCGGGUGUGUUGCCUCCGUCGGCGGCGCGGGCGGCAGCUCCUCUUCGGGGGGGCUGUUGUGGGCGCAGGCCGAGGACUUGCCGUAGUGCGGCGCGGGCAACGGGUUCCUCGCGAGGGGUUCCUUAUCCCGAUGUCCGCCGGCAAGUACCUGAGAGCGCAGCCGUUGGGACCCGAAAGAUGGUGAACUAUGCCUGGCGAGGACGAAGCCAGAGGAAACUCUGGUGGAGGUCCGAAGCAGUUCUGACGUGCAAAUCGAUUGUCAGAGCUGGGUAUAGGGGCGAAAGACUAAUCGAACCAUCUAGUAGCUGGUUCCCUCCGAAGUUUCCCUCAGGAUAGCUGGCGUUGAUUUAAGGAUGAGUUUCAUCCGGUAAAGCGAAUGAUUAGAGGCCUUGGUGGUGCAAUGCCGUCAACCUAUUCUCAAACUUUAAAUGGGUGAGACGUARAGCUUGCUUARAAUAUGAAGCUGUAUGUGAAUU
rnacentral:rRNA from 1 species